rnacentral:rRNA from 1 species
AACAGAUGCUAAUACCGCAUAACAACUUGGACCGCAUGGUCCGAGCUUGAAAGAUGGCUUCGGCUAUCACUUUUGGAUGGUCCCGCGGCGUAUUAGCUAGAUGGUGGGGUAACGGCUCACCAUGGCAAUGAUACGUAGCCGACCUGAGAGGGUAAUCGGCCACAUUGGGACUGAGACACGGCCCAAACUCCUACGGGAGGCAGCAGUAGGGAAUCUUCCACAAUGGACGAAAGUCUGAUGGAGCAACGCCGCGUGAGUGAAGAAGGGUUUCGGCUCGUAAAACUCUGUUGUUAAAGAAGAACAUAUCUGAGAGUAACUGUUCAGGUAUUGACGGUAUUUAACCAGAAAGCCACGGCUAACUACGUGCCAGCAGCCGCGGUAAUACGUAGGUGGCAAGCGUUGUCCGGAUUUAUUGGGCGUAAAGCGAGCGCAGGCGGUUUUUUAAGUCUGAUGUGAAAGCCUUCGGCUCAACCGAAGAAGUGCAUCGGAAACUGGGAAACUUGAGUGCAGAA